CCAAGCCUGGAUACUUUUUUUUUCUUCUUUCUUUUUGGAGAGAGUCUCACUCUGUUGCCCAGACUGGAGUGCAAUGGUGCAAUCUUGGCUCACUGCAAUCUCUGUCUCCCAGGUUCAAGUGAUUCUCAUGCCUCAGCCUCCUGAGUAGCUAGGAUUACAGGCAUGCACCACCACACCAGGCUAAUUUUGCUUUUUUCAUUGUUGUUUCUUGUUUGUUUUUCACAAAUAGGACUUCUUCUUUGCCACUGUUUUAAGUCUGAACUUUAAACGAUUCUUGAACUGGUGGUUCAUAUCCAUCAGCUCAUUCAACUUUAGCAUGUGUCUUGUCCCUAGUGGGUUUUCCAGAACUACUACCGUCACCACGAAGCUCCAUGCCUUUCAAACCCAGGGUUCUCCAGCAUUUUUACUUUUCUAAUGAAGACAUCAUGGAGAGGAUAAAUUGGCAAGCCUUUUCUACAUCUUUUCCAAUGUUGUCUGGAAUCAAUUUAUUGACCACUUCUUUCAAGUCAUUUGUCUGCACCUCUCAAGUCAUGAUUUCCAUCAUAUUCUUCUGGAUUUGGCGGACUGUUAGUGCUGAGCAUAAGACGUCUUCAGUAUCUGAUUGUUGUGUUUUUUAGUAAAACCAACACAAAACAGAUGAAAGAAGUAACCAUCGGUAGUCUUGACAUCAACAUGAGCUUCAAUCAUUGUUGAACAGUUUUCAAACAUGGAACAUAUUUUGUCACAGGAAAGACCCAUGCCAUAGAAGUUAGUCAGGCAGUUUUUGCCCUGAACAUCUUCAGUAAUCAGCUUGAGUUUUCUAAAUGCAACUUCAUCAUUCUGCACAUCAGCAAGACUCACUUCAAACACAAGACCCUUGAGACCAUCAGAUGCAAUUUGGGUUCCUUGGGUCCUGGUGACCAAGUCUUUCCAAUAUUUCCUAUAUUGAACAUA
rnacentral:lncRNA from 10 species